UGUAUUUCUCUUCUCCAAGGACUCUCCGCCACACUCGAUGUAGAGUUAGGCGCAAGUCACUUGGUCCCCGGGGCUGACAUUGCUGUCGCCGAUGUGCACCAAUGUGCACGGGAGACCUUCAGACUGCAUCGUUUCAAUGGCAGUCUUCCUUACCCCGAGACCUCUUCCCUGCUCUCUAGUUUGAGGACAGUAUCCUAAACUGCUAUAAAGACGAUUAAUUUGAUGCAUUUUAUCAUUAAGAUAUACUCGGGUACAAAGUCCUGAGGCAGAGAUUUUAGUAAAUGAAUGAUGGUCCCAAGGCCUCUGCCAAUUCUCAGAACCUAGGCGUUGCCACCGCUGAGGGUGGAUUAGGUUUGGUGAUGGGUUUUCUUUCUUUCAAUGAUGAUGCAAAUAUGCCUUUUUAAAAACGGCCUUCAUUUUUUGUGGGCCAAACUCUGCAUAUUAAGUGCUCUUUUUUAUUAUGUCAUUUGUUUAAAUGACCCCUACAGGACAUAUGGUAUCCCAUUUUACCUAUGAGAAAACAGGCUAAAUAACUUGCCAAGGGUUACACAAGUUAGUUAGGAUACUGGCAGGGAUGAAAAAAAUUCAGAUUUUGCUGUUUCCAAAACACAAAUUACAUAUUUUCAAAAGAACCAUAACAAAAUGGACAACUGUAAGUGUAAGGAUAGUAUUUAGUUUCACAAUGUUUGGGGACCUAUUUGAAGAGGAUUGUUCCAAUGUGUCAAAUAAUCAGUAUGGAAAAGGGAAGAAAUUAAAGACUAAAGCUUUGGAGCCACCUGCUCCCAGAGAAUUCACCAAUUUAAGUGGAAUCAGAAAUCAGGGUGGAACCUGUUACCUCAAUUCCCUUCUUCAGACUCUUCAUUUCACACCUGAAUUCAGAGAAGCUUUAUUUUCUCUUGGCCCAGAAGAACUUGGUUUUUUAGAGGAUAAGGAUAAACCAGAUGCAAAGGUUCGAAUCAUACCUUUGCAGUUGCAGCGCUUGUUUGCUCAGCUUUUGCUGUUAGACCAGGAAGCUGCAUCCACAGUGGAGCUCACCAACAGCUUCGGGUGGACUAGCGAUGAGGAAAUGAGACAACAUGAUGUGCAGGAACUGAAUCGAAUUCUCUUCAGUGCUUUGGAAACUUCUUUGGUUGGGACCUCUGGCCAUGACCUCAUCAAUCGUCUGUAUCAUGGAACCAUUGUUAACCAGGUUGUUUGUAACGAAUGUAAGAACAUCAGUGAGAAGCAGGAAGACUUCUUAGAUCUAACAGUAGCAGUCAAAAACGUAUCUGGUUUGGAAGAUGCACUCUGGAACAUGUAUGUAGAAGAGGAAGUUUUUGACUAUGACAACUUGUACCAUUGUGGAACUUGUGACCGGCUGGUUAAAGCAGCAAAGUCGGCCAAAUUGCGCAAGUUGCCUCCUUUUCUUACUGUCUCAUUACUAAGAUUUAAUUUUGAUUUUGUGAAGUGUGAACGCUACAAGGAAACUAGCAGUUACACAUUCCCUCUCCGGAUCAAUCUCAAGCCUUUUUGUGAGCAGAGUGAAUUAGAUGAUUUAGAAUAUAUAUAUGACCUCUUCUCAGUCAUUAUACACAAAGGUGGCUGCUACGGAGGACAUUAUCAUGUAUAUAUUAAAGAUGUUGAUCAUCUGGGAAACUGGCAAUUUAAACAGGAAGAAAGUAAGCCAGAUGUGAAUUUGAAAACUCUUCAAAAUGAAGAGGAGAUUGAUGAUCCAUUGGUGAUACUACAAGCAGUCAUAUUACAGGAGGAGAAUAAUCUAAUAUCUGUUGAUCAACUGGGCCAGAAACUGUUGAAAAAAAUGGGAAUGUCUUGGAACAAGAAGUACAGAAAACAGCAUGGGCCACUGAGAAAGUUCUUGCAGCUGCAUUCUCAGAUGUUCCUUCUAAGUUCAGAUGGAAGCACAGUUAGUCUACUGAAGAAAGAUCCUGUCCAGUCUAAGUCUGACUUCCAAAGUACUGAUCAACAGAGUUUCCACUCACUGGCUUUAGAAGCCCCAGGAUUAAGUGAUAGCACUGCCUGUUCCCACUGGUUUGAUAUAAAUGACUCUAAAGUUCAACCAAUCCAGGAGAAAGAUAUCGAACAGCAAUUUCAGGGCAAAGAAAGCGCCUACAUGUUGUUUUAUCGGAAAUCCCAGUUGCAGAGACCCCCUGAAGCUCUAGCUAACCCAAGAUACAGGGUCCCCUGUCACCUGCUGAAAGAAAUGGAUGCAGCCAACAUUGAACUGAAAGUGAAAAGGGCAGAUUGUGAUUCUGCAAACAAUGAUUUUGAAUUGCAUCUUCACCUGGGCCCUCAUUAUCGUUUCUUCAAUGGGGCUCUGCACCCAGUAACCUCUCAGGCAGAAAGUGUGUGGGAUUUGACCUUUGACAAAAGAAAAACUUUAGGAGAUCUCCGACAGUCAAUAUUUCAGCUACUAGAAUUUUGGGAAGGAGACAUGGUUCUUAGUGUAGCAAAGCAUGUACCAGCAGGACUUCACAUUUAUCAGACACUCGAUGGAGAUGAACUGUCGCUGUGUGAAGUUGACAUUGCUGAUGGGGAAGACAUCUUUGUAUGGAAUGGAAUGGAGGUUGGAGGAGUCCAAAUUGAGACUGGGAUUGACUGUGAGCCUCUGCUGUUAAACAUUCUUCAUCUGGAGUCAAGUGGUGAAGGCAAGAAGCGUGGGCGACUGAUAGAAUCGCCACAUGUCUUUCCUGCUAAUGCGGAAGUGGGUACUGUGUUCACAGCUGCGGCCAUCCCAGCAGGCAUCAUCCUUGUGAACAGCACCAGGUCUGCAGAUGAAGAGAGCUGGACCACUGUGCCCGAGGAAGACAUGAAGAAGACGUUCAGAGAGCAGGGGCUCAGAAACGGAAGCUCCAUUCUAGUUCAGCCUCCUAAUAGUGAGGAUAGGAGUGUGUUGCCCAAAGAAGGGAAGUGGAUGAAUGGUAUGAAUGAGAUCGACUGGAUCCAGGUUAAAAAUUUAUGCCAGCUAGAAUCUGAACAAAAGCAAGUUAAAAUAUCAGCAACUGUUCACACAGUGGUGUUUGAUAUUCGAAUUAAAGCCAUAAAGGAAUUAAAAUUAAUGAAGGAACUAGCAGAGAACAGCUGUUUGAGACCUAUUGAUAGAAACGGGAAGCUCCUUUGUCCAGUGCCAGAUGGUUCCACUUUGAAGGAAGCAGAAGUGAAGAUGGGGAGUUCUUUGGGACUGUGUCUUGGAAAAGCACCAACUUCCUCUCAGCUGUUCCUGUUUUUUGCUUGGGGGACUAAUAUUCAACCUGGGACAGAGAUGGAGGUCAUAGUAGAAGAAACAUUGUCUGUGAAAGAUUGUUUAAAGAUAAUGCUUGAGAAAUCUAGUCUGCCAGGAGAUGCGUGGCAUUUAAGAAAAAUGGACUGGUGCUAUGAAGCUGGGGAGCCAUUAUGUGGAGAAGAUGCAACACUGCAAGAGCUUAGGAUAUGUUCUGGAGACACAUUGCUUCUAAUUGAAGGAAAACUUCCUCUUCCGGGUUUUCUGAAGGUGCCCAUCUGGUGGUACCAGCCUCGUGGUCACUCAGGACACUGGGAGAGUCAAGACCAGCCUUGUACCUCUUCUCAAGGCAACGGCUGGAGAGCUGCUAGCACCCAAGGUGCCCCUGGCCAUGUGCCUGCGGAAGUUUCUCUCGUCUACUUGGGAGAUGUGGAUAUCUCAGAAGAUGCUGCUUUGGUGGACCUGAAAUCUCAGGCCAGAGCCUUAACCCCUUCCUCAGAGCUUGCUGUCCCUGCCCCAGCCCUCCUCAGAGCCUGGACAGUGGAGAGCAGGCGCCCUGGCAGGCUCUUACGCACUGACCGGCAGCGGCUCAAGGAAUAUAAACUAGGACGGAGACCCGAGAUCUGCCUGGAGCCCCUUCAGGAGGAGGAGCAGCUGGGCCCCCAGGACGUACUGCUGAGGACGCAGAUGCGCAUCCCUGAGGAGAGGGCCUACGCCCCUGCUGUGGACUUGGUGUGGGACACCGCCCGAGGCUGGACCACCGGCUCCCUGAGGCAGAGAGUGGCUGAUUUCUAUUCUCUUCCUGUGGAGAAAAUUGAAAUUGCCAAAUACUUCCCUGAAAAAUUUGAGUGGCUUCCUAUAUCUAGCUGGAACCAGCAAAUUACCAAGAGGAAAAAGAAGAAAAAGCAAGAUACUUUGCAAGGGGCACCCUAUUACUUGAAAGAUGGAGACAUUAUUGGUGUUAAGGCUAAACGGAUGUGGAGACGUUGCUCACUAGCUGUUUUACUCUUGAAAUGUAGAACCUUCUGGUCGAUGACAGUGACGACUUCAGCACAGCCAGAGACGAUGCUGAGAAAGAGAAGCAGGAGCUGCUACCUCGGGGGAAGAGGGACAGCCAAGAAGUCCUUUGUGCACAGAGCAGUGAUGUCUCCAGUGCAGGGACACCUGCCCGGCCCCGAGGACCAGAAGCUUCUCUGUCUAUUCACGUUGGGAGCUUCAGAUAGCGCUUGCAACAGGAUGUGUCCCAGCACAGUGCCCAGGCUCUGCACAAGGCCAGCUAACCAUCAGUGCCUUAGAAGCAGGAGAGUGGUUUGUGGGCAACGAGUUGGCUGCAUCCUUGGAUCUCAGAUCCUCGUCUUCACCUGCCAACAGAGGGACAGCUUUUCUCAGGCUGGGCAAACGUACUCCAUAGCUCAGCUCCGCAACAUACCUUGGCCCAUGGGAGCCAGCACAGACCCAGGUACUGUGCAGGAGCCACGCAGGUGUUGACCUCACGCCACACCUGACCCCAGUGGCCAUUUUUCCAGGAAGCUUACCACUUGUGCAUUAACCACAGGUAUGGACAGGUGGCUUAUUGCUCAACUCAAGAUAAACUUGUGUAAGAUCCACACCUGUAUAGUUGCUUCCACUUUAACCUGCAUUGAAGUGGGUUCUGAUGGUCUGUCCCAUGCUGCAGGGGGCGCUGUGCUUGUUUAUAUCAGAAGGAAAGGGUAACCUGUGCCUCCCAAUCUCCGCCCCCCACACGGUUCUCUCAGGUGACACGUUUCUUGUCAGAGCUGUGGCUCUGACACACAAAGCACACCGCCACAGAGAAGAAAGCCUCAGGUAAGGCCCACCUUGGGGUCUGAGGUCAGAAUACUCUUGCUGCUGCCCGCAGCUCCUUGGCCUCUCCCUCUGGAAGGCUGGUAUGAGGCAGGACCAGGGGACAAGGCCCCACAGUUGUGGGUUCCCAGAUGUCUUGGGCAGGCUCAGUUGACACUGAGUAGCCUCAGUUGAUUAAAGCAGACGGGGGGAAAAUGUAAAAUUUUUCCCCUUAAUUCAACACAGGUAACUAUUCAAUUUAAAUUAAAUUUAAAUAGCAUUUGAGAGCUAGCACUGCAUUAGAGUUGACCGAUCUAGGGUGCUGGACUGGCAACAUCUCCAGCACAUUCCUGAGUUGUCAUGUACAUGCUCCCCCUAGUGGUCACUUGUAUUUCAGUUCCCCAUCAGCCCUCACUGCCUAACACUAACACAGAGCUGAGGGCCGAGAUGGGGAGGCGCUGACCAUGCAGCUUGGCACUUAGGCUGCAGCCCUGGCUGAAGGCUGUCCUGCUGUGGCUGCUACCUUCUCAGCCCUGGAUACUCCGCAGGUAGCCCUGCUUCCCCCUUCCCAAUCCCCCCAACACCAGGUGUCUUCAGUCUUUGUAGAAGCACUUGGGCUCAGACCAACAAGCCAGGGGGUUGUGCAACAUGGAAGUCAAGGCCCAGUCCUCUAGACACGCCCCGAGGGGUGCGAUGAUGUGUGUGAACUAGGCCUCAGUCCUGUGGCUCCUGCCCAGGCCUGCUGUCAGCUGCUGUGUCGGCUACUGAGGGCAUUUUCCCAGCGUGCCUUCAUCCCAUCUUAAUAUUAAUGUAAUAGCUGAAACAUUCUGCUUUGAGGAGCCAGAGGCCUUCCCAAACCUCUGAAAUAUUCUCAGUGCUGGCCAGCAGGGGGCGCCCACCUGGGUGCUUGCUGGGUUUUGUUUUUGUUUUCCAACUGGGCAUGGGGAGAAAGCUAAGAUUUUAAGGAAAAAAAUAAGCCAUUUUUAAAGUUGUAGUCUUCCAUUUCCUUUAUACACAUCUGCUUCGUGUUCUACUUGCUUGAGAUAGGCUGUAAAGGCCUUCUUUCCCAGGUCCACGUCAAAUGCUAAAUAAACAUGGCUUGCAUUUAGAAGUAGCGUGCCAGUGCGGCUUUGGAAAUCAAACAAGUAUGUUUGGGUUUUAAAUGAAUCCAGAUUCAUGGGAAAACUGUAGUGGAAGAAACUGGAUGUCUUCUGGUCCUCCUCUUUGUCAGGGUAGGGCUGGCGGAGGAGUGGAGCCGCAGGAAACGUGUUUGUUCAACUGCGACGUUCUGGCAACAGGAAUGGGGCAGGGCAGGGGCAAAAGUUACUAAUAAUCCAAAAUUGUGGUUUCACUGACACUGGUUUCCCUUGGGAACAGACUCGACAGCAAGGGACCCGUGAUGACGGCACCUUCACCUAUCUGGACAGGGCACUAGCAGCCCCUCAACUAACUCCUCCCACAUUUGAAGCAUGGCCCUGGUGGGGUUUAAAACACAGCAUGUGGCACUGCGCCUGUCCUCUUUAGGGAGGCACCACAGGGCUGAGCGCCUUGGCCCAACCCAACUUCCCACCCCCCAGGCUCAGUUUUUUAACCCGGAGACCGGACCCCACGGUGGCUUUCCGUUUUGCUUUUCAGCACCCAAAAUUCAUUCAGCCCAUAUUUAGAGCAGCUGAAAAAAAUCUGAAUUCAGUUUGGCAACCAGUAUUUUAGUCAAUGCACAGGAAAGUUGAUAAGGACUCGGGCCAUGACGAUCAAAACAGGCUGGUUUAUUUAUACACAGAACAAAGUAUUUACAGCUCUGCUGGGCUAUGUACAUAACAAUACAAGAGGCGGCUGCUUUCUGGUGGCCACUAUAUAAAUUAAGAUUAUAAAUAGAAGGGUGAGCCCCAACCGGGCACAAGGCCUCUUCCCCAAGACCUAAGCAGCCCCUCCCUUCCCUACAUUCUUUGCCCUGGGACUCUGAGCAGCUGACCCAAGAAAGGCAGAACAGGAGGACCAUGGCCUCGGCCCCAGGCGUGUGGCACAGGCCAUCAGUGCUCCUCAUAGGCCCUUCUCUGCCGACUCUGAGAACUAUGGUGCAUUUCUGUGUGACCAGUGUUGUAGUCACUGACAACACCAACUGUAACACCCCCAGCCCAAACCCAGUGCUUCCCCCAGAGGAAGACUGAGGACUUGAGAUGGCCCCAGUGCAACUGUCGGCUGCUUCUUGUGUCCCCUUCUAGCUUAAGGUCCAGUCUGACCCAGGGCUUGUAGUACCACGGGCACAGGAUUGUCACCUCCACGGCUAUCCUUUCCCACUUGGAAAUCAAGUGUCUCCCAGGGCUGGAUGACUACUGUCUCCACCAACACUACCUCAGGCAGGCGGCAAAGUCCAUGCUCGGUCUCCACCCAGGCACCCACGCCACUGGAAUUGGGCCUGAGAAAGGCCCAAUGGUAGACACGCUGACUCCACACUCGACUGGAGCCCGGCCCCCAGCAGGACCACUGUGGGGAGUGUUCGCAGGGCAGAGCACACAAGACCCUGCAGACCCUGGACAGUCCACACACCGCUCAGCAGGUACCUCUGAAGUGCCCCGAGCAGCUCCCCACCCAGCCUCCCCACAUUAGAUGGGGUGACCCCACUAAAGGGCCGGGCGGUGCAUGGAGACACUCAUACACUGCCUUCUCUCAGGUGUACAGCUGCAGCCUGGCACCUUCCUCAGGAGGGGGCUGUUACAAUGUUACAAGACCUUUCCGGGUGGCAUUACAAGCCCCCAGGGCAGCUUCCUAACAACCAACUUCAAAAAGGAAAGAAAGGGCUGAGUCGGUGGCAGUGAGGACCAAGGGCAAAGGACUCAGCCCUGCCCUGGGGCUGGAGCUAGAUCCCUGAACAGAGGCAGGGCAGGAGUCCUGGGCCAGAGUCAUCCAGCCCAGGGAACCACUUGAUUUGGCCCAGAGUCUGCAGACAACCUUCAGGGACACCAGGUCUGGUAGCAGGAGACUAGAUGCUAGCCCAUGGCCCGAGAAUCUGGGCCUCCUGAUAGGAAGAAGGACCCAGCCCACCCAGGGACGUGCUCCUGGAAACCCAUACACUCUCCCACAGAACAGACAGCUUCCCCAGACCUGGGAAGCUUCUCCUCCCCAGAAGUACUGAGCUAACCCCAACCCACACACCCUUGUGGCUCCAAGCAGGACUCCUGAGGUCCAUGGUAUCCUGUAGAAAGGAGGGAUGUCCACGCCCACAGCCUAAGAGAGGAUGCAGAGGAGGACCGCAGGCCUGCAGUGAAUGAGGAAGGCCUGAGAGCUGAGGAACAGAACCACGCGCUGCCUUGGCUGGACGAGAACUUUGCUCCCCUCCUCUUUAGAGCAGGUUAAAGCAAACAGAACUCAAAACAAGUCCGUUCACUUUCAAGACCAGCAGAGUACACAGCCUUUGUUAGAAACAAAAACCUUCUGAAUGAACAGGGCAGUAGCAGUGGGCUGCCUCGUGGGGCUGCUGGGAAGAGCCACAGGGUGGCUGUCAGGCACAAAGAAUGUUCUGGCAGGGGCCCACCACGCACUGAGCCCAAACCAUGCUUCUGAGAGCCAGCAGGGGCAGAGAUGGUGCCACCAAUGUGGCCAACAAAGCACACGCAGAGGGGCCCACAGGGUAACCCAGGCUCAGGGCCUAGGCAAGUUUCUGCAGAAGCGUCUGGUACCCAGAGUCCCUGUGGCCCACGACAGGUCAGUGAGAGCCGAGACUGGGCAGGACUCUGAGCUGGGAAAGGUGGUGUUUCAAAGGUAGCUGUGUUGGUAUGUUCAGGACUCCUGGAGCUGUUAUGGACGGGAGUCAAGAGCGGCUUCCUGUCACUAACAAAGGGAGUAGCACCAUGAGAGGCCAGGGGCAGUCCUCCCUGGGCCUCAGUCGCGGGAGGAGCGGAGGAUGCAGGCCGAGAAGACAGAGGCUAGGCCUCGGUGGCAGGGGAGCCCCGGCUCAGUUCCUUGAUUCCACACAGGAUCCUCUUCAUGUGUCCCACUUUGGUUACGCCAAGGUCCUGCAACAGAGAGGACAGCCACCAUGGAUGCCAGGAAGGGGGCCCAGACCAAAGGGCUCUACAGAUGGGUCUGCACAGCGGACCCUUCCCACUCUGCUUCUUGAGCACAGAUGAGGGUAAGAGAGACAACAACAGUGGAACAGACAGAAAUGGCACAAAUCACGAUCGCAGGGACACCUAGCACACCGUUCCUGUGUCCUCCAAGUCACUGACGCCGUCAAGAAGGAUCCAACAAGACAAAAAAACAAAACACAGGCCUAGGAGCAAGUGGAUGGCAGGUGGCCUCAGGAGAGGCACUGCUAAGAGGGGCGGUGGCCUUUUGCCUUCUCAGGACUUGGCCAGUAACAAUGCCCAGAAGACAGGCUACACGGGCUGACUCUACAAGUCAAGGGCAGUGGGUGCAGACCCAGGGGCACAUGCACGAGGCGAGCUGCCUCAGCACCUGCCCAGGAGCAGCACAAAGAAGUCACAUUAUGUGACAGGGCUCCAGAAAUCCUUCCACUCACAACUUAACCACAGAGGACCCCACACACCACUAGGCACCGGAGCUCUUCUGCUAAGUGUGGGAGCCUGGGGCUGGACCCUCUGGGGCUUCUGAGGUCACACAGCCCCUUGUCAAUAUGGCCAAGCAAAUCAAGACUCCCCCCAGUGUCUGCUCCUAGCUUCUCCUGGCUGUGGCAGGUGCAGCCAUCACUGCCAAGAACCGUGCAAAACUUCAGGAUGCUAGGACCUGGCCAGGAGCGGGUAGAGGACGGAGCUGAGAGGGGCUACCAGGAAGCCCCAUGCAGGUUCCAAGAAAAAGCCUGUGAAAGUACCUUGAGGUCCCUCCGCUCCAGGUGCAGGAGCUCAGAGCCCCGGAUGUCGUGCCGCGUGAAGAUGUCCUUAUACUCACAGAGACUGAGGUGCUCCAGCCAGGCAGCCACCUCCUCUGUCCCCCAGAGGUGAACUGUCGAGACGGAAAAGCACGAGUGCAGUGAGUGCCCAGAGCCCAGCGCACGGACAGCCAGCGCCCGAGAUGCCCCGGCAGUGGCGCCCACCACCCAGCCACAGGCAAGCACCCUCCCGUAGUGCAGUGCAGAAGAGACAGGAGCCACUCGCUCGGGUGUGAGCAGCAGGAGUGCUGGCGUCUGUUCCUGCCAGGUGGCCACUCCCAUGUCCCAGGAGAGAUCAGACACCACCCAGUCCUGGGGGGAACACCUUUGUGUGGCCAAAAGCCAGUGUUGGCUCUCACGGCUGGACCAUAGCAGGAAGGGAGAGAGGCAGUUAGACUUUCCAGACUCAGCCGCCAUCAUGAACAGAAACCCAAUUUCUGGUCAAACAUGCAAAGAACAACAAUCAAAAGAGCUGCCCUGAAUGGUGGCAAACGCGCCCAACAGAGUCCAGGUCGGGGCCCGCACAGCACCCAGAGGGCUACACACAGCUCAGUGCUCAGCCAGCCCUUCGGACAGAGAUUGUAAACCCCAAUUUACUGACCCUGAGGAAAAAUGUCCUUUUGGAUCAUUUUCUAUUGAUUUCAUCACCCACGAUCACUGGUGGCCUGGGGUUCCUGGCUUAAAGACCUUGAUCAACGAAUCAAUCAAACAGGAAUCAGCAGCUUUUCACAAGGAGCAGGCAGAGGACCCCAGCACAGUCUGAGUCCAGAGUUUUAUGUCUCCAAGUCUGUCUUGUCACCUCUGCUGUCCUCCCUACCUCAAAGCCCCAACUCAAGGCAUACAGGCGGAAUUUACCACUGCGGCUGCGUUUGGAAAGAUCCAACAUCACAUUCUGUUGGGGAGAAGGAGAAACACUGGGCGUCAGACCCUACCUUAUCGAGGCCUCGGUCAUGCCCUACAGAGGCGGGGUGGAGGGAGGGAGGGGUAGGAAGAGACACCUCCUCCUUUCUUUUGGUUUUAUUCCCUAACUUGUCCUUGUAUGUACUACUGAUCUUCAUGUCUUUUAAACGUUUUAAGUGGUCAUUGUCAUAUCAUCUAUUUUUACAUUCUACUUUUUUUAACUUUUAUAACAUUGGCAUUCUUCUCGUGACUGAAAGCAUUUUUGUAAAUAUUAACUACCCCUACAUGCCACUAUAUGAAGAUGAUUAAAACAGACCGUUCAGCCAGUCUUCUCGUGUUGGAUCACGAGGUUUGAUGA